CCAAGGAGUCUAACAUGUGCGCGAGUCACUCGGUCUUGAAUAGGCCAGAGAGGCGCAAUGAAAGUAAAGUUGAUUGAGUUACGAUCCUCAUGCAGUUAUCCUCGUGGUAACGGUGAGGCGCAGUAACAGCCCGCCAAUUUCGCUUAUUGACGAUCUGGCGGAGUUGUAGCGUACACGUUGGUACCCGAAAGAUGGUGAACUAUGCCUGGGCAAGACGAAGCCAGAGGAAACUCUGGUGGAGGUCUGUAGCGAUUCUGACGUGCAAAUCGAUCGUCAGACCUGGGUAUAGGGGCGAAAGACUAAUCGAACCAUC
rnacentral:rRNA from 1 species